CCAGCAGCCGCGGUAAUUCCAGCUCUAAUAGCGUAUAUUAAAGUUGUUGCAGUUAAAAAGCUCGUAGUCGGAAUUCGGGUUCGGGCAGGCUUCUGACCUCUGGGAAGAUGGCAGGCUCGGAUCUUUCUGCCUUGUUUCUAUUUCGCACUUAACUGUUCGGAGUAGGGAUUAGGCCGUUUACUUUGAAAAAAUUAGAGUGCUCAAAGCAGGCUUUCACGCUUGAAUAUUCGUGCAUGGAAUAAUGGAAUAGGAACUCGUUUCUAUUUUGUUGGUUUUCGGAAAUCGAGUUAAUGAUUAAUAGGGACAAUUGGGGGCAUUAGUAUUCAGACGACAGAGGUGAAAUUCUUGGACCGUCUGAAGACUAACUACUGCGAAAGCAUUUGCCAAGAGUGUUUUCAUUAAUCAAGAACGAAAGU
rnacentral:rRNA from 1 species